UCAGCGUGGGAUUGGGUGGAUGGAUUGAGGCAGAAAUAUCUACCUCGUCAGACCCUCUCUCUCCCUCAUCUCUUCUUCAUCCCGCUCCUCUUCUCUAGGCCGCCGCCGCGGCUUUCCUCCUCCCUCUCGGCUGCCUCAUCUCCUCUGCCUCCACCUCCACUGCCUCCUUACCCAACUAGCACGGGCAAGACGACGUGCAGGCAAAGGGAGAUGGCGGCGGCGCUCAAUUCGGUCAGCAGUACAGAGAAGAUGAGAGGGAGAGAGAUAGAGGAAAGGGGAGAGGGAGGUGCGCCUGUCCCUCACCCCAUGUCCCCGGCGCACCGUCGCCCCUCCAAGCCUUGGUGGUCCAGGGAGGAGUAGAUGGCACCAACUUCGAUUCCGGCCUCCGCCCUGAGCUCCGCCGCCUCACGAACUCGAGGCGACGGGCGCCGCCCCCACGAGCUCACUCCGCCUCUCGAGGACCUCCUCUCCUUCGCGGCCCCGAGCGAUGUCUUGAACUCUUCUGUCCCUACACAUGGUCAGCAUCAGCAGAGGGCCAAACGAUGCAACUGCAGGCGCAAACAAUUUUGCUGGGUAGGUGGUCAAAGCCCUAUUCUAUUGUUGUGAUACUGGUGAGCUUGCACGGUGCAGCAGCCUGGAGAGGCGGCUAACGGCGCACCUGCGAAGCAACAAUAAACACGUCUGAUGCCAACAUGCCAAGAUAGAAAAAUUGCAUCCGGCAGACUGUUUACGACAUUGUGGCAUUGGACUAUGAGAAAGUUACGUUCCUUAUUGAUGCAACAACCGCUGCAAGGCCAGAUAUCUAUUUGGCAAGUAUUAGAGAUAUGAUGACUAUUGGCGUGGAAACACCAACCUUGGAAGAGUGGCGCCGUUAGGUUAGCAGGUGGUGUACUUCAUUCUUGGAGCUGACAUACAUGCCUAGGUGCAUCAAAGUCAACAAACGCGCUGCUACCUCUUGCUGACUCUCCAUUCGGCCCCGACAAGUUUGUAGUACCUUCAGCAUAGAAGCAGUAGUGGUCUGCUCCCCCAAAUAUCUAUAGCUCGUGGAUGUGGCGGUAUGGGGAAUAGGGAGUAGAUGAUAUGGGAAUAAGAGGAUCCAGGCACGUGCACAAAUUCUUGCUACCUGACGGCUAUGCUGAGGAUGCCUCUGACCUAUCUCAAGAAGAUUUGAGCCGCAGAAUGACGUGUACAGCGCACCACCAGUUCCUCCGACAACACAGCUGCUGUACUGGUAGCAGCGACCACAACUUUCCACACAAGCGUCGCUAGCUGUGACCGUCAAUGUACCUGAUGCCGUAUAUGCCUCUCCAUCCCGUUAGUCUGCUCGAUUAUUCGGUUCUGCCAGCGCCAAGGUUCAACACAUUUUAGUUUUAUGGGAUGGACAUGUUAGUUCAAAUGCUUAAGGAGGUUGGAUGGAGCAUCGAGGAUUUCAGGCUUGGGGUGGCACAGUAGUAGGAUAGCAGGAUGAGUUGGAUGUGUUCUUCAGAGACCAGGUGAUGUCGUUGCCGAAAGGUACCUGAAGCACACACUUCUGAAUUUGGUCAUUUAUUUUUCCUCAUAGCUGGUUUCCCUUAAUACUUUUCUUAGAGACAUGAUCAAAGAUAGAAAAGUUUUACUUCUGAAGCAGAAGUGACAGUAUACUACGCAUGCCAUAUUGAUCUGUUCAUGGCAAUGGCAGAAGUAUCUAAUUCAUCCGACCUAAUUCAAGUUAGCUUCUGUACAGCAGUAGAUAAAGAUUCACUUACAAAUAGUACUCCAAAUGGACAGUAAUAGUGCGUAAAAAGUGUUUGUGUUAGUUCAGUGAAAAUUAGAGAUCAGCCUGAUGGUACUUCAUUUUUUAUUCUAUAGCUUAAUCUGCCAAAUGCUAUUAAGGAAAUGAAGUUUCUUCCUUGAUCGAGUUAUUAGUCCUUAUUGUGUGCAUGCUUCCUAAUCAACACAUGAAUAAUCAAUUUGUACAUGCUCAUACAUGUUAAUAUGCUAUUUUCUUGGUGCAUUAGAGAUAGUACGUACAUGCAUAUAUAAUCUACAAUUGCAGCAAGCUAAACCUUGUUGUUCUCAGUUUUUUUUCGCAUGGAUUAUUUUGUUCUCAUGUAAAUUGAAGGAAGAAACACUCAUGUAUGUACAGAACUGAACUGAAGCUACCAAGGAAAUUACUUUUAAAGUGGAUGACCUGUUAUUAGAAUAAAAGGGUUAACCGGAAACCUACACAACACAUAUAUGCAUGUAUCAACUGAACUACACUGGGCAUCCUAAAACUAACGUCAAAGAACAAUUUAACACAUAUCUUACCUAACUAGCAUACAUGCCCUGUCUAAAACAUAGGAGUUUAAGUUUGUACAAAUAAAAUGCAAAUUCAACCACUAUCACGGAUAUUUAUCAGCGAUGUUUUUUGUCACCAAAAAUUGAUAGAUAUACAGACACAUGUACAAUCAUACGUUGUAAAGCUUCCAACACUUGCUUACAAUGUCUUACUUUCUGUCAUCAGUCUGCCGUCAUGGGAAAAGUCGGGAUCCCAACAAAAGUGCUUCUGGAUGCUAUGAAGCAACAGCUUAGCCUUCCAAGCGAAAGUAAGACAUUGUAAGCAAGUAAGACAUUUCCCAUGACGGCAGACUGAUGACGGCAGACAUAAACUCCUAUGACGACAAACUGAUGACGGCAGACUUAAAAAUGCUUCUGGAUGGUGUGCAGAGGUUUCUUAGUUCUUGUACUGCACCCCAUUCUUUUAGAAAUUGAAACUACUCCAGCGUCCAGUGUUAGCUAAGAGCUAAGAUGAGUACAAGAAUUUUCUGUAGAGAUUGUUGCAAGGAGACAUCUCUGUCCAGUGUUAGCUAAAUUUUAUUGGUCUCGGCAUUGGACUAUCUAUGCAUUGGUCUCACAUCUUAUUUUCGGAACAUUUGAGUACUCUUCAAAUAUGCAUACACUGCAUAUUUUCAGUGUCUGAAAAUAUGCAUAUACGCUGUACAACAGCAUAUUGAAAACAUUCAGGUUUUAGUAUAACUGAAUUUUUUGUUACAUACACUCUGCGCUUCUUCUAUAGCUGAAUUUUCUGUUACAUACACUCUGCACUUCUGCUUUAACUGAAUUUAUUUUUCAGGCUUUGUACAUCAGCCUGCUGAAAACAUUCAGUCAUUGACAAAUCAUGACAUUACAAUCUGACAAAUCAUGCAUGCAAAAUCUGACCAAGUGUAAAAGCUUGUCAAAGCUCUCAUUCCUUGUUAUGUUAUAAACUGAAUGCCAAGAUAGAUUUCUCAAUGUACAAAUUGUUUGCACUUUCUGAGCACUGAAAUCUGUAUAUUUUAGAUAAAGUAGCAUUUGCCAGUAGAAGUCAUGGUUGGAUCAACAUAUUUUUCCACUGGAAUCCUUUUUUAAUGCAAGUUUACAGCUACUCAGAGUUCCUAAUUGGAGACUCAACUAUCUUGACCUA